rnacentral:rRNA from 1 species
UACAGAGGUCCCAAGCGUUGUUCGGAUUCAUUGGGCGUAAAGGGUGCGUAGGCGGCGCGGUAAGUCGGGUGUGAAAUCUCGGGGCUUAACUCCGAAACUGCAUUCGAUACUGCCGUGCUUGAGGACUGGAGAGGAGACUGGAAUUUACGGUGUAGCGGUGAAAUGCGUAGAUAUCGUAAGGAAGACCAGUGGCGAAGGCGGUUCUCUGGGCCUGUACUGACGCUGAGGAGCGAAAGCGUGGGGAGCGAACAGG